rnacentral:rRNA from 1 species
AUUCAUAAAGUACCUUCAGCCCCCAACACGUUGGGGGGUUUAUCCCUUUAUAAAAGCAGUUUACAACCCAUAAGGCCGUCUUCCUGCACGCGGCAUGGCUGGUUCAGGCUUGCGCCCAUUGACCAAUAUUCCU